rnacentral:lncRNA from 1 species
AUGAAAUUCUAGUCCAGGGCCUUCAUUUGCCUCUGCAGCUGAGAGCGCACUCUUCUCAGCUAAGAGGAAUGACAGGGAAGUGGAGUGAGAGUUGGAAUUUAUGAGCUUUUAAAGAGGACAGAGAGCAAAAGUUGGAGGACACAUUUUGGGGGAAAAUUUUUAUUUGUAUUCCCUGAUUAGAGGAGUGGAGGGUGAAGCAGUCUCUGGUUCAUCAGCCAGAAAUAAUAAGACAUGUUACCAUUCUCAGUCAACUCAGAAAUCAAACACAGUUAAAGUGCAUUUAUUCUCUGGUCACAUUGGGGCUUCACAAAAUAGAAGAAAACACCCCUGUCACUUUAGGAGGCUACAACCCAGUGAGAGUUUAUUUUAUGACUGUUUCUUAAAGCCAGGUUUACACUAGCCAAAUGAAAUGAAGAACUGGGCAAUUAUGAAUAUAGUUCAUUUCCAGAGACAAAAUAAUUCUAUGAAGUUGCUGCAGUCCGGCCUAUCAGAACCAACAAUUCUGUUAUUUUUUAGCUUGGCCAGUUUUCCCAGGGGUGUUUCCCCACUGUGGUAAUUGAAGCUGGCUGAGAAAACCAGUGGGCUGCCGGCAGAGCCUGAAUCUCCAGCCCCAGGGAGCUGGGAGCUCUCUCUAGCUGGGGAGAGCUCUUCAGAUUGACUUCCAACCCCCUUAGGCUCGGUUCAUGUUUCUCUAGUGUCUCCAGGCUUGUGGGGGGUUGGGGGGUGGGGGUGAAUGAUGGAUUUAUAAUUUUUUCUGGAUCGUUCUCUAUUGUUUCUUUUUGUUUGAUCUUUUUUUGUGUGUGUUUUAAUGCACCGGGGCUCAGGUCGUCCUCUGGAGUUCUCUGGUAAGGAGGAAUGUUGGUGACAAAUAGGAAAGUCAGGCUUCCUUUCUGAUGUUGGCCAGAGACAGUGAGGGUGGGAGCAGGACCUGCCUGGGCCAUGUGGGCAGGAUGGGAAGAGGUGGGGGCACUGCCAGGCACUGCUGGCUUGGAGAAGGGGUUGCAGCUGGACUCUGAGACUUUCCUUGUGAGGUUUCUGAUUUCCCAAGAGUUGGCUUUUGAUCUGCGGCAUUCUGGAAAGAGGAUCAGAAUCCCGCCCUCAGGAGGCCCAGACCCCCCUAGGGCCCAAGAGACCCCUGCAUCAGUAACCUGAACAGGUGCCACUGGAAGGACAGAAGAGAAGACAGAGCUUUAAAAAUCAGUGGGAAAGGACGAGGGGGCGGGGCAGAGGAGUCCAGGACCCCUCUGCCUGCUUCUGCACAGAAAGGACUACAAGGGCAGGGAUAAGUCUGGGGCACCCGUGUUUGAUUUCCUGAGUCCCCCUAGACUUGCACACAAGUGCAUUGAGGAAAGAAAUCAAACAGCGCAGGAAAAGCAUGGAUUGAAAAAUAAAAUGUUCCUCUAUCCCUAUGUGCCAUUCCUUUCCCUUUCCCGAGGUCAUCACUGUUAAGUUUCUGGUGUGGCAUAUGUAUCUCUCCCCGCUUUUUGUGCAUCUUGUUACCGCGCCCCACCCCCACCCCAUGUACAAAUGUCACUAUAGAUCUUUCUGUGCUAAGCCACAUGGGCCCCUUAACCUCCCACGUAUCUCUCCCCACUUUUUUGCAUCUGGGGACGGCGCCCCCCACCUCAGCCCCAUGUGCAAAUAGAUCUUUCUAUACUAAGCUGCAUGGGCCUCUUUACCUCAGGUGUUCCCAGCAAUCAAGACCAGAGCAGGGUGUGUCCCACAUAGGCUGGGGGUUGGAGAGUGCUGCCCCCCCCCCGCCCCGCAGGGCCUCGGGAGGGUGAAGGGGCCGACUGGGUCUCUGCUCCCUGGGAAUCUGGCCGGAAUUCCACAGGGCUGCAGGGCCCGCCGCCCAGCGCCAAGAAAGCGGGUGGCCACAUCGAAGUUUCUCAACGGGAGGAGCGGAUUCGUCUGGAGACGCCGCCUUCUCCCCGCGCCUCUUCUUCCAGCACUGCCACACGGGUCCUGGAAGGAUCCUGCACCCUCUGCUCAGUCCCCGCUCAGUCUCUGCUCCGGGCUGGGGGCUUUCUCCACCUGCCCGGGCGGGGGCGCCAGAGGGGAAGAGGGGGGACUGCAGGGAAAGGGGCGGGUUCGGGGGGACUGUGCGGGGCAGGAGGUGGUGGAGCCGGCGGUUGGCAUCGCUGGAGGCAGAGGGGACCAGGAGCGGGAGAAGCCGGGGCCGGAAAGCAUUGGAGCCCCAAGGGCUCACCAUCAGCAUAGACUCUUCUCACCAAUACCUUACCUACCUGGGAUCUGUUGUAUGAGAAAUUCAGAAACCCCCUUUUUGCAUAAGGAAACCAUCAGGAGCUAAAUCAUUUUUUUACAUACAAAGCUAAGUGGUUUUCAAUAUUACAUGUUAACUACAGACCUUCAUUAUGGAAAAUGUUGUGCCUCUGGACUUACGGCAACCUCAAAAUAUUUCAACCUCAAAAUAUUUCGGACAAACCAUUAAGUUUACUUGUAAAUGGAAGCUAAAAGCCUACAUUUUCCAGGUGAGAAAAUCUACCUGAGCAGUUUUAUUUUGCCUUAUGGAAGGAACUAUGACAGCACCAUGGAAGAAAAUCACCAUGCUCUUAGCGACCCCUGAGAGGUGAGAAAGCAGCUGCUGGCCUCAGGGGAUCUUGCCCUGUGUGCCUCAGAACUGGAGCUUGUGGGCAGGUCUUGGUGGCUCACACCUGUAAUCUCAGCGCUUUGGGAAGCCCAGGCGAGAGGAUCACUUGAGGUCAGGAGUUCGAGACCAGCCUGGGCAACAUGGCAAAACCCUGUCUCUACUAAAAAUACAGAAAUUAGCCGGGCAUGAUGGCAUGUGCCUGUCAUCCCAACUACUUGAAUCCACAGAGGUUGCAGUGAGCCAAGAUCCUGCCACUGCACUCCAGCCUGGGUGACAGAGUGAGACUCUGACUCAAAAACAACAACAAUAACAAACGAACUGGAGCUUCUGUUCAGAUAGUUCAUUUUCUGAUGGGAUUGCUGGGAGGAAAGUCAAUGGACCCAGCAGAAGGGACCCACGAGGGGCUCUAUUAUGCUAUUUGGCAAGAGAAUGAGAAAGUAGAGGACAGGCUGGAUGAAUAGGGUACCAUUGGCUUUUAAUGGGCUCAUGAAAAUUCUUAGCUCAGUGAAUUCUGGUUGGAUGUAGUGUUGUCAUCUGGCAGCCUUCCCAGCCAGUCAAACCAGGAGGUAUUGUCAUGUUGAUGUGACCUCACCUGCAGUUCUAUCAUUUUUUCUUCAUCCUGAGUUGCUUACUUGCAUAGUCAACUACUGGUAUGAGAGCAUGACGUGGGUGAGACCCUGCUUGGUGUUUUGAAGAUGUGUAUUUAAGAAGAGACAAAGCAUUUCCAACUGCAGGGGGACAGUCAUGUGGAUGCACAUAUACACAAGCCAAUCCCUCUAAAUUCUUUUUUUUUUUUUUUUUUUUUUUUUUUUGAGACAGAGUCUUGCUCUGUCGCCCAGGUUGGAGUGCAGUGGUGUGAUCUUGGCUCACUGCAAGCUCUGCCUCCCGGGUUCUCGCCAUUCUCCUGUCUCAGCCUCCUGAGUAGCUGGGACUACAGGCGCCUGCCACCACACCCAGCUAAUUUUUUGUAUUUUUAGUAGAGACGGGGUUUCAACGUGUUAGCCAGGAUGGUCUUGAUCUCCUGACCUUGUGAUCUGCCCGCCUCGGCCUCCCAAAGUGCUGGGAUUACAGGCAUGAGCCACCGCACCCGGCCUCUAAAUUCUUUACUAAUAGAAAAGGGUUGGCCAGCAACUGAACCAAAAAAAAGAAAGAUGAAAGCAACAUAACGUAUUAGUUUCCCACUGCUGCUGUAACACAUAACUACACACUUCCUGCUUUAAAACAAUGUAAGUUUAUUCUUUACAAUUCUGGAGGUCAGAAGUGUGAAAUGCGUCUCACAAGGUUAAAACCAAGAUGUUGGCAAGACUGGUUCCUUUUGAAGGCUUUAGGGGAUGUUUCCUUUUCUUGCCUUGUCCAGCUUCUAGAGUUGACUUUUCCUUUUUAAUUGCUUUACUCAUGGUCUCUUUAAAGCCAGCAGCCUCACAUCUUCACAUCUCUCUUCACUUUGGUUGUCACAUCCCCUGUGACAAUGUCCCGUAUAUAGACCCCUGUAAUUAUGUAUAAAUCUAUAGAGAUUUUCUGCUUCUCACUUUUUAUAGAAAGCAGUUACUGCAUCCAGAUUUGGGUAAAAUCCAGAACCAGCUGCUGUAAAUAAGGUCAUAAAGGAAGAAAGGUAAAUCAAUGACUUCAGGAUGUCAGGGCAAACAGGAUAGUGGAUAGGAUCUCUCACAGGUAAAAGGAGGCAGUAGAGUGUUAGUUCAUUGAAUGGACUUUGUUUAGAACCAGGUGGUUGAAAUUGUGUCCCCAUCACUUACUAGCCUUGUAUUUUAAACAAGUGACUUAACUCUUUUUACCUCAGUCUCCUUUUCUGUAAAAUAGUAUCUACUUUGCAGGAUUCUUUAAGGAUGAAUUGAAUUAAUAAAUGCAAAGUGUUUCCACAACACCUAGCAUGUAAUAAAUAAUUCUUAGUUAUUGCAAUGACAUUUCACUUAUUGGAUUCUGCUGAUGAUACAUUCAUGAUAAUCUCCAGACAAUAUUGAUCUCUUCUUUUCUCUGAGCUCUGGCAAUGUGUAAAACUUUAAUCAAACAGUUUAAUUUGGAUUUUCUUUUAUUGUUAGUUUAUAUUUCAUCUGUCUCUCUAUCUAUAUAUAUUUCCAACAAUAACUUUUUCUUUUUCUAAAUCAUAAGUCCCUCAAGGCCAUGGCUGUUUGUCUUUCACUUUUUUUUGUUGUUGUUGUUCUUUCCCAACCUUGACUUUUGAUUGCCUUGAUAAGUUAAUUCACAUAGAGACCUACACUUAAGUUUGUGCUUUGUAAGAAAGCUAUGUUUGUACAUUGAAGAAAAGCAUUGACCAAGCAAUUUAGUCAUGUAAGCAUAAAUGCUGAAGGGAUGUUGAUGGUACUUGAAAUUAUGCUGUGUGGGCAUUUGAGAAAUACCCAUUCGCAUGCAUACCAUUGAUAUGGCCAUGAUAACAUACUUUCAAUGAAUCAUUAAAACAUGUUCUCUAGGAAUAUGUCACAUCACCAGGCACCAUGUGUUUCAUCUUCCUUCAUGUGCUUGAAAACAAUGGUCUGCAUUGGGAAAAGGAUGCACAAUAUUCCAUACAUGAUGUUGACCCCCUCAAGCUAGUUAGGAUUACAAGUGUGUUAUUAUUUACAAAGAAAGGUCAGGUCUGGGGCUAUAAACUGACCCUGGUUCUGCUCAAGUGAGCUGUGAGGAACCCACAUCUAUUUCCCAGCCCCACUUUUUUCAGUGUUGGUCACAUGUAAGGCAGACUCCUCAGUAUAAUGAGAGGGCUAGAACAGGAUACAGAUGAGGGAAGGGGGCUGGGCCAGGGGAGGAGGUGGACAACAGGGAAUGGUGGGAACUGUGGGGAACCUUAGAAUGUAGGCACCCACCAAAGAUAACAGUAACCACGCAGAUCCAGCUGCAUGUCUGGGUGGACAUGCAUGCCAGCUAAGUGGAGGGAGCUGGGGCAGGGGCAGGGCCAUAUUCCUGGUUGGGUAACUUAUGGAUACUUCUUACAGUAUCUCUGUCUUACUGACAUCAUCGAUGAAGACUCAGUAUCUAAAGUAAGCAUAUUGGACAUUCAAUGUGUAACCAAAAAGCAGGUCAGUUGCUUGUCACAUGCAGAGUCCAGUUAGCCAGAGUGAGGUCUGGUAUAACAAAAGUAAAUUUAUUCUGAAGCUAGCUUGGGGGAAGGGGCACAAAGCAUCUUUAAGGAUGAAAUGAGUUAAUAAAUGUGCCAUUUCCCUUUUGGAGCAGAAAGCAAACACUUCCAUAAGGCAGUGAGGGUCAGUGAGCAAGGGACGGGUUCCUCCUGCUAGCUCGGUGCCUUAUCUACCUGACGGUUGAGUUGGCACCUUCCUGGGCAGAAGUAAGAUGUAAAAAUGGUUAAGCAGGCAUACUUUUGAUAUACCCUCCCAGAGGCUGGAAGUUCUGAGGCAACCCCUGGAAGUGAAUAUUCCACAGCGGGCAUGAUUGGGUCUGUAAAUCGAUUGUUAGCUCUUCAGGAAUUAGAUGAUCUUGUCCUCUAAGAAGUAUCUGGUGAAGGAAGAGGUAAAAGGCUGUAUUUUCGUCUCUGAAGGACUAAGUGGGAAGCAGCAAGUGGGAAAGGGGAAAGGAGAAAAAGAAGAGAAAAUAAUUUAAAAAUAAUUAAACUAUUAGGAAAAUAGGGGUACUCGAUUGCAAUUGGGCAUUGAUUUAUUGUGGGUACUGAGCUCAUGCUCUCCAUCUUAUGAUUCGAAAAUAUCCUGUUGAAUCCCAACUGCAAGUUUUUUCUCUGAGGCAAUUACCUUUGUGUCUGUACCAUCAGGGGCAUACUCUUGGUGUUUCUUUUCCAGCAUCAACAGUUUUAUCAGGUUGUAAAUAGGCUUGCCAUUGAAUAAUUAUAUUUUUAGAUGCAUUUUGUUGCUUUGAGCAAUGCGUUGAGUAGGCAUUUAUGUUGGUUUUGAUCAUCUCUACCUAAUAUCGCUUGCUGUCUUGUCACAAAAAUACUCUGAUGAGUACUUUGGGGGAUGCACUUCUCGCGUAGCCUGUGGAUCAGGGAAAACUGAUAUACUUCAGGUGCCCAGGGUGGGUCACAUGACCAUGGCUGGGCUCAUCAGCAAAUUCUAUUCUCCUAAUUCAAGUGAUUGGUUUAAAGAUGGGCACAUAACACAUCUGAUGAUACAAGGAGAUUCGCAAAAUUCUUCUUUGGGUACUUCUUGGAAAUCAGUUUUUAGUAGUUCUUGCUGAACUUGAAGGAAAUCAAACAUGAUAUUUUUCUUCCCAUGAAAAGGAGAUUGAAUAAGGAUCUGACACCGUUGAAAUCAGUUAUGAGUUGAGUAAAAAUGUCUAAAUGAAGUUUUCUGAACUUUGAUUUUCAGCUGUGAUUGGAAGUCACUCUAUCUCUAGACAUUCCAUUUAUGACUGUCAUUAACUUUUGUUUAAGCUCAUUUGAAUUGAACUUUUUGUUUCAUCACAAUGGGAAGAAUCCUUGUAGAUGGAUGGAAAGAGCGAGUGAAUGAAGGCCAGUUUGAAUUCGAAUCCCUAAGUAAAUGAACUCGACUAUGACAUUUAUCUGAGCUGACUCUUAUGUUUAUGGGGCAAACAAUUGAGUUACUUCAUGGUGUUCUUGGUGGAUAUUAGGAAGUAGAUCCCAUGUGACGGGGGCGAAAUUGAAUUUCAGAGAGAUUAAGUGAUUUGUCUCACUAGAUAAUAUGAGUUGAUGACAGACUUAGAUUUCCAACAUGGAUUUUUUUUUUGGCCUCUGUUAUAAGCCUCAGCUGCCCCUAAUCAGUUAAUAACAGAGUUUUCUGAAUUAUUAGCACAUUUCUGAUACUAUCUAAACAGUCUCUGAAAUGUCCAAUUUGGAAUAAAUAUAAAUGUAAAUUGGAACAAGGUGUACACAAUUUUCUACUGCUCAACAGCUGAUAUUGCCUAUAAAUGAUUAAAAUUCCUAUUAGAUUAAGGUCUAAUUUUUCUACUUAAUAUUUGUAGUAAUGCAUGCUAGUUUCACAUCUGGAUCCUUGUGGGCAUCUAACACAUCGACUUCAAAUCCCUUCACUCUGGUUUCACGUUAUGCCUUUUCAUCUCCACUUAGCCCAUGAAACUGCAAUGUUGAUUAAGAAAGAGCCAUGUGAUUUAUUUCAACUUUUUAUCAGGUUAAAGGGUCAUAGUUGUACCAAUUAAAAACUGUGUUGAGUAAGUAAUUCUUGCUGCUGUAACAAAUGAACCUCCGCAUUUCAGUGGCUUUCCGUGUUCAAAGUUGUAUUUCUUACACCCACAAUGAUCUAACAUCACUGAUGAUGGUUGGCACGUGGUUUACUUCCCUGUCUUAAUUUCUGCCAUGGCCUAGGGCCUUUAAAUUAUCUUCUCCAGCUGAUGGAGGGAAAGAGAGAGAUGUGUAGACACAUCUAAACCAUCUAACUUGGAAGUGAUACUCAUUUCUUUUGCUCACAUCCCAUUGGUUACAACUAGUACCACAUCUGGAAGCAAAGCUAGGGAGGCUGUGAAACAGUCCCUAUAGACCGUAGCCCUAACUGCCCCUCUUAAUAAUUUGCAGAAACAUACAUGGUAAUUGAGUAUACAGCAAACUCUUUCUGCCACAAAAACAAUGCCUCUCUCUGCCAUUUCACCACGUUUCUAAUUGCAACCGGCUGUUCAGCGAUAAAUUUACCUGCGUGGCUACUUUUUAUAUUUAUGGAGCUGAACUCUACUCAGUUUAAGGAAGUCUCCUCUUCUUCUGAGAUAUAAAUUAGAAACAAAUUAUUGGCUUUCAAUGUUUGAUGUCUGGAAUAACAAGCCUAAAUGAGAUCCCUCUAGUGUCGGGACUUUUGUCUGAACCCAAAAGAGAAAGCCAGGUUCAUUGUCCUUGCUUUAUUUGUGUUUCUGGAGGAGUUCUAAGACAGAAGGAAGAUGCACUUGAUGACAUACUGGGCAGGUACUGGGGGUAACUGUACAUCUGAAACAAAUAUCAGAGCGUGGACACCAACUGAGGAGAGAGCAAGAGAAGAGAGUGCUGGUGGCUUACAGGCGGAUUUGUUAUUAUUAUUUAUAAGCUGGCCUCAACCUAUUUCCUACCUGAGUUUAUAGCUGAUGCCACCUCCUGCAAAUUUCCUUUCGGAUACUCAAUGUCUUUUCUGCAGUGCCCGAUGGCCUUUUACAUUUGUGUGCUUUUGUCAGACUGGCCCAAGUUUUCUGCAACGUCUUCUGCCUGUCCUUGCUCUGACUGGCAAACUCCUCCUUAAUCCUCAAGAUUCAGUGCAAAUGUUAUCUCUUCCAUGAAGUGGUCCCUAAAAAUUCUCUAGGUCAUUAGUUGAUCCAGCUGGUUGCUUUCAUAACACUUGGAAUUAUUUUAUUAUAGCGCUUAAUCACAUUGCAUUUCAAUCUCAUUUAAGAACUGCUUUCUAAGGGAAAUCUUGGACCUCUCUGCAGGGGCUUGUGACUUUUGUCAUUGUGCAGAGGCUGAAGGUGUUCUUAAGGUGAGCAUCUUGGCUAGCCUCUUCACUUUCCAUAAUUCAAAUAUAUUGAUUGCUUAAAAUAUAGAUAUAGAAUACAAGUUUGUAUGUAACAAAAAGUAUUUUUUCUACUGUUGUUAAAGUAAUACACAUAUACAGUAAAAAUAGAGCAGGAAGAAUAAGUUCAAGAGAACUGUUGUACAACAUAGUGACUAUAGUUAAUAAUGAUGUGUUCUCAAAAAUUGCUGAGAGUUGAUUUUAAGUCUUCUCACUACAAAAAAUGAAAUGUGAGGUGAUGCAUAG